rnacentral:antisense_RNA from 1 species
CUCACCUGGGGCAGCGUAGGUGUGCGUGACAUUGUGCUCCACCAGCACCUGGGCCACCGAGGGGUCUGGAACCGAGAAGGACUCGUUGUACGGAGGCUGGAACUGGUGGAGGGCCUGCUCCCCAUCCCCAAAGGUCCACCUGCCGGGGCGGUGGGAGGCACCAUGGCAGCAUCCUCGGGCAGCAUGAAGCAGAGCAGAAGGCAGAAGUGAAGGUGGAGCCCGCCCCCGCCCCGCCCCACCCCGCCCCACCCCAUCCCCUCCCCCCCGCCCCAUCCCCUCCCCCCCCGCCCCAUCCCCUCCCCCCCCCCCCCCCUCCCCUCCCCCCCACCCCCGCCCACCUACUGAGAGCUUGAAGACGCUCUGAUAAAUGACAUUGAAGACCACGUUCUGGAAGGUCAGGGACUGCUUGUCGUUGAUAGUCCACCGGAAGACCAUGUCCGAGCCGGCCUCCACCACGGGGCUGUACCUCUGCGGGGGGAGUGGUGUCAGCCUGGGCUCUGCGGAGGACUCUGCCCUUA